rnacentral:tRNA from 1 species
GGUGGCUCAGUGGUAGAGCUCUUGCCUUGCAUGCAUGAAGCCCUGGGUUCAAUUCCUCAGCACCG